GGGGGGGGCAAAAUGGCAGAGUAAGGCGGGAUCACUACGGGGGCUGGUUAUAUAGUUAAAAAACGCCCAGCGAUUUCAAGAACAAUGACUUUAAAGCUGUGUUCACAUGCAAGCUAAUUUGGUUUACGCUGAUUGGCUUAACUUGAAUAACUUCUAAAUUCCUUAUUCUUCAAAUGCUGCCACACCUAAUAAAUUACUUUUGAUUGAUAUAGACAAACGUCACUCGUACUGUUAAUCCUUGAUUAUUAUAUUCGCCAUUGCAUGAUUACUUAUAACUAGGUUACCCACAGGGCAGUAAUGCUGCCUUUGACAGCAAAAGACAAA